rnacentral:tRNA from 1 species
CAGGUGUAACUCAAUGGCAGAGUUCUUGCUUCCCAAGCAAGCAACGCGGGUUCGAUUCCCGUCACCUG